rnacentral:rRNA from 1 species
UACGUAGGGGGCUAGCGUUGUCCGGAAUCAUUGGGCGUAAAGCGCGCGUAGGCGGCCCGGUAAGUCCGCUGUAAAAGUCAAAGGCUCAACCUUUGAAUGUCAGUGGAUACUGCCGGGCUAGAGUCCGGAAGAGGCGAGUGGAACUCCUGGUGUAGCGGUGGAAUGCGUAGAUAUCAGGAAGAACACCGGCGGCGAAGGCAGCGCGCUGGGUCGGUACUGACGCUGAGGCGCGAAAGCGUGGGGAGCGAACAGG